rnacentral:rRNA from 1 species
ACUAAUCCUAGCCCUAGCCUUCACAAAUAUAAUUACAUCAUUUCAUAAAUCAAAACAUUUAACCCACUAAAAGUAUUGGAGAAAGAAAUUCGUACAUCUAGGAGCUAUAGAACUAGUACCGUAAGGGAAAGAUGAAAGAUCAAUUAAAAGUAAAAAUAAGCAAAGAUUAAACCUUGUACCUUUUGCAUAAUGAAUUAACUAGAAAACUUCUAACUAAAAGAAUUACAGCUAGAAACCCCGAAACCAAACGAGCUACCUAAAAACAAUUUAAUGAAUCAACUCGUCUAUGUGGCAAAAUAGUGAGAAGAUUUUUAGGUAGAGGUGAAAAGCCUAACGAGCUUGGUGAUAGCUGGUUACCCAAAAAAUGAAUUUAAGUUCAACUUUAAACUUGCUAAAAAAACAAUAAAAUCAAAAAGUAAGUUUAAAUUAUAGCCAAAAGAGGGACAGCUCUUUUGGAACGGAAAAAACCUUUAAUAGUGAAUAAUUAAUAAAUCAACCUUUAACCAUUGUAGGCCUAAAAGCAGCCACCAACAAAGAAAGCGUUCAAGCUCAACAUAAAAUUUUAACUAAUCUCACAAUUUACAUCAACUUCCUAAACUUAAAAUUGGGUUAAUCUAUAAUUUUAUAGAUGCAACACUGUUAGUAUGAGUAACAAGAAUUCUAAUUCUCCAGGCAUACGCAUAUAACAACUCGGAUAACCAUUGUUAGUUAAUCAAACUAUAGGCAAUACUUAUAAUAUAAACAAUUUACCUAUAACUACUCUGUUAACCCAACACCGGAAUGCCUUAAGGAAAGAUCUAAAAAGAUAAAAGGAACUCGGCAAACAAGAACCCCGCCUGUUUACCAAAAACAUCACCUCUAGCAUUACAAGUAUUAGAGGCACUGCCUGCCCAGUGACUAAAGUUUAACGGCCGCGGUAUCCUGACCGUGCAAAGGUAGCAUAAUCACUUGUUCCUUAAUUAGGGACUAGCAUGAACGGCUAAACGAGGGUCCAACUGUCUCUUAUCUUUAAUCAGUGAAAUUGACCUUUCAGUGAAGAGGCUGAAAUAUAAUAAUAAGACGAGAAGACCCUAUGGAGCUUAAAUUAUAUAACUUAUCUAUUUAAUUUAUUAAACCUAAUGGCCCAAAAACUAUAGUAUAAGUUUGAAAUUUCGGUUGGGGUGACCUCGGAGAAUAAAAAAUCCUCCGAAUGAUUAUAACCUAGACUUACAAGUCAAAGUAAAAUCAACAUAUCUUAUUGACCCAGAUAUAUUUUGAUCAACGGACCAAGUUACCCUAGGGAUAACAGCGCAAUCCUAUUUAAGAGUUCAUAUCGACAAUUAGGGUUUACGACCUCGAUGUUGGAUCAGGACAUCCCAAUGGUGUAGAAGCUAUUAAUGGUUCGUUUGUUCAACGAUUAAAGUCCUACGUGAUCUGAGUUCAGACCGGAGCAAUCCAGGUCGGUUUCUAUCUAUUUACAAUUUCUCCCAGUACGAAAGGACAAGAGAAAUAGAGCCACCUUACAAAUAAGCGCUCUCAACUUAAUUUACGAAUAAAUCUUAAUAAAAUAUGUAUGUACAUCCUCUAACCUAGAGAAGGUU